rnacentral:rRNA from 1 species
AGUGAACGCUGGCGGUAGGCCUAACACGUGCAAGUCGAACGGCAGCACAGUAAGAGCUUGCUCUUACGGGUGGCGAGUGGCGGACGGGUGAGGAAUACAUCGGAAUCUACUUUUUCGUGGGGGAUAACGUAGGGAAACUUACGCUAAUACCGCAUACGACCUACGGGUGAAAGCAGGGGAUCUUCGGACCUUGCGCGAUUGAAUGAGCCGAUGUCGGAUUAGCUAGUUGGCGGGGUAAAGGCCCACCAAGGCGACGAUCCGUAGCUGGUCUGAGAGGAUGAUCAGCCACACUGGAACUGAGACACGGUCCAGACUCCUACGGGAGGCAGCAGUGGGGAAUAUUGGACAAUGGGCGCAAGCCUGAUCCAGCCAUACCGCGUGGGUGAAGAAGGCCUUCGGGUUGUAAAGCCCUUUUGCUGGGAAAGAAAAGCAGCAGGUUAAUACCCCGCUGUUCUGACGGUACCCAAAGAAUAAGCACCGGCUAACUUCGUG